AGGGCACCACCAGGAGUGGAGCCUGCGGCUUAAUUUGACUCAACACGGGAAAACUCACCCGGCCCGGACACCGUAAGGAUUGACAGACUGAGAGCUCUUUCUUAAUUCGGUGGGUGGUGGUGCAUGGCCGUUCUUAGUUGGUGGAGCGAUUUGUCUGGUUAAUUCCGAUAACGAACGAGACUCUGGCCUAUUAAAUAGACGAUAUAUCUAUCUAGUAUAUCGCGCUUCUUAGAGGGACAAGCGGCGUCCAGCCGCAUGAAAUAGAGCAAUAACAGGUCUGUGAUGCCCUUAGAUGUCCGGGGCUGCACGCGCGCUACACUGAAAGAAUCAGCGUGCGUUUUACCUAGUUCGGAAGAACCGGGUAACCCAAGUAGAUUCUUUCGUGCUUGGGAUAGGGAAUUGCAAUUAUUUCCCUUGAACGAGGAAUUCCCAGUAAAUGCGGGUCAUAAGCUCGCGUUGAUUACGUCCCUGCCCUUUGUACACACCGCCCGUCGCUACUACCGAUUGGAUGACUUAGUG
rnacentral:rRNA from 1 species